rnacentral:rRNA from 1 species
UACGGAGGAGGCAAGCGUUAUCCGGAAUUAUUGGGCGUAAAGCGUCCGUAGGUGGCACUUCAAGUCUGCGGUCAAAGACCGGGGCUUAACCCUGGAAAGGCCGUGGAAACUGAAGUGCUAGAGUGCAGUAGGGGUAGAGGGAAUUCCCGGUGUAGCGGUGAAAUGCGUAGAGCUCGGGAAGAACAUCGGUGGCGAAAGCGCUCUACUGGACUGCAACUGACACUGAGGGACGAAAGCUAGGGGAGCGAACAGG